rnacentral:lncRNA from 1 species
GCUGUCGUAGUUCCAUCUUGUCGCCUUCGUACUUUUAUUCGAUGGCAACACGACGGGAUUACAAGGUCUUCACGAAGUCGUGUUGCCAUCUUAAGACCUUCGGGUAUCUUCGUGAUUCAUUCAUGUAGACAUCGUAAUGUCAAAACUGCCCGAUGGAAACGAUGGAAACACGAAUGCAAUACGAUGUGCAAAGAUGCAUUCCCGGUGACAUUACGAU